rnacentral:rRNA from 1 species
CCUACGGGUGGCAGCAGUGAGGAAUAUUGGUCAAUGGACGAGAGUCUGAACCAGCCAAGUAGCGUGAAGGAUGAAUGCCCUAUGGGUUGUAAACUUCUUUUAUAAAGGAAUAAAACGAGGCACGUGUGCCUUUUUGCAUGUACUUUAUGAAUAAGGAUCGGCUAACUCCGUGCCAGCAGCCGCGGUAAUACGGAGGAUCCGAGCGUUAUCCGGAUUUAUUGGGUUUAAAGGGAGCGUAGAUGGGGUGUUAAGUCAGUUGUGAAAGUUUGCGGCUCAACCGGAAAAUUGCAAUUGAUACUGGAAGUCUUGAGUACAGUUGAGGUAGGCGGAAUUCGUGGUGUAGCGGUGAAAUGCUUAGAUAUCACGAAGAACCCCGAUUGCGAAGGCAGCUUACUAAACUGUGACUGACACUGAUGCUCGAAAGUGUGGGUAUCAAACAGGAUUAGAUACCCUUGUAGUC